rnacentral:rRNA from 1 species
UACGGAGGACCCGAGCGUUAUCCGGAUUCAUUGGGUUUAAAGGGUGCGUAGGCGGACCUGUAAGUCAGUGGUGAAAUCCCUUCGCUUAACGAAGGAACUGCCAUUGAUACUGCUGGUCUUGAGUACAGUUGAGGUGGGCGGAAUGUGUCGUGUAGCGGUGAAAUGCUUAGAUAUGACACAGAACACCGAUUGCGAAGGCAGCUCGCUAAACUGUAACUGACGCUGAGGCACGAAAGCAUGGGUAGCAAACAGG